rnacentral:rRNA from 1 species
GUGCCAGCAGCCGCGGUAAUACAGAGGGUGCAAGCGUUAAUCGGAUUUACUGGGCGUAAAGCGCGCGUAGGCGGCUAAUUAAGUCAAAUGUGAAAUCCCCGAGCUUAACUUGGGAAUUGCAUUCGAUACUGGUUAGCUAGAGUGUGGGAGAGGAUGGUAGAAUUCCAGGUGUAGCGGUGAAAUGCGUAGAGAUCUGGAGGAAUACCGAUGGCGAAGGCAGCCAUCUGGCCUAACACUGACGCUGAGGUGCGAAAGCAUGGGGAGCAAACAGGAUUAGAUACCCUGGUAGUCC